rnacentral:rRNA from 1 species
AACGAACGCUGGCGGCAGGCUUAACACAUGCAAGUCGAACGCCCCGCAAGGGGAGUGGCAGACGGGUGAGUAACACGUGGGAACGUGCCCUAAGGUUUGGAAUAUUCCCGGGAAACUGGGAGCAAUACCAAAUGUGUCCGUAAGGAGAAAGAUUUAUCGCCUUAGGAUCGGCCCGCGUCAGAUUAGGUAGUUGGUGGGGUAAUGGCCUACCAAGCCGACGAUCUGUAGCUGGUCUGAGAGGACGACCAGCCACACUGGGACUGAGACACGGCCCAGACUCCUACGGGAGGCAGCAGUGGGGAAUCUUGGACAAUGGGCGCAAGCUUGAUCCAGCCAUGCCGCGUGGAUGAUGAAGGCCCUAGGGUUGUAAAAUCCUUUCGUUGGGGACGAUAAUGACGGUACCCAAAGAAGAAGCUCCGGCUAACUUCGUGCCAGCCGCCGCCGUAAGAC